rnacentral:rRNA from 1 species
AUUGAACGCUGGCGGAAUGCCUAACACAUGCAAGUCGAGCGGGGUAGCAAUAUACAGCGGCGGACGGGUGAGGAAUACGUAGGAAUUUGCGUUUAGGUGGGGGAUAGAUUGGGGAAACUCAAGGUAAUACCGCAUGAUCUCGCAAGAGCAAGGUGGGGGACCGCAAGGACUCACGCCUGUAGAGAAGCCUACAUCAGAUGAGCUUGUUGGUGAGGUAAUGGCUCACCAAGGCGACGAUCAGUAACUGGUCUGAGAGGACGAUCAGUCACACCGGAACUGGGACACGGUCCGGACUCCUACGGGAGGCAGCAGUGGGGAAUAUUGGACAAUGGGCGAAAUCCUGAUCCAGCAAUUCCGCGUGUGUGAAGAAGGCCUUCGGGUUGUAAAGCACUUUAGGUUGGGAAGAAAAAGCUUCGGCGAAUAUCCGGAGUGUUGACGGUACCAACAGAAUAAGCACCGGCUAACUCUGUGCCAGCCGCCGCGGUAA